GGGAGCCCUUCCCGUCACAGACCCAUCACCGUUCACUUCAGCCUCCUUAGAUGAGGAGGAAAAACACUUGCUCAUACACUGUUGUGGGUAAUGCU